UGGGAGGUAAUGGAAUCUAGCAUCUAUUUAGCUAACUGUUAGUGUUGCACUUUAUACAUCUGAAGUGAUGAAGGAAAUUACAUCUGUUGAUCAGAGGACUGGACAUCAAGCCAAAACCGGAUUACGAGAUCCUAAUACUACAUCCUAUUCUGGGUUUGCAGCCAAGCUUGUGUGUGAACAUGAAAACAAGUGUGCGAUGGGGUCAUCGUUCAGUCCUUCUGACAGACUGAAUCCCUGUGAAAACACUGCAGCCGCCUGUACCCAGCUGCUAUAACGGUGCAACGACACCCGCUUCAUUUCCAAGUCGCACGCACGCUGCAUGAGAUAUCAGGCAGUGAUAACAUCCCCGGGCCCCUGUGAGCACGUGGAGCCCAUCAGAUCCUCAAAUCAAGCUGCUCCUGUAAUGAGGAAAACCAUAAUGGCAAAUCUUGCUCUGAGCAUCCUCUGGUUGUGAUGGCUGCACCAGAGGGCAUGUGCACAGAGAGCGGGCUGCUUCAGCUGGCGAGCAGCCUUUCCUCAUUAUCUAGA